CCUACGGGCGCAGCAGUGAGGAAUAUUGGUCAAUGGGCGGGAGCCUGAACCAGCCAAGUCGCGUGAGGGAAGACAGUCCUAUGGAUUGUAAACCUCUUUAGGCGGGGAGCAAUGCCGGGCACGCGUGCCCGGAGGGAGAGUACCCGCAGAAUAAGCAUCGGCUAACUCCGUGCCAGCAGCCGCGGUAAUACGGAGGAUGCGAGCGUUAUCCGGAUUUACUGGGUGUAAAGGGAGCGUAGGUGGCAUGGUAAGCCAGAAGUGAAAACCCAGGGCUCAACUCUGUGGAUUGCUUUUGGAACUAUCAA
rnacentral:rRNA from 1 species